GAACGCUGGCGGCAUGCCUAACACAUGCAAGUCGAACGAGACCUUCGGGUCUAGUGGCGCCCGGGUGCGUAACGCGUGGGCACCUGCCCUUAGGUUCGGAAUAACUCCCCGAAAGGGGUGCUAAUACCGGAUAAUGUCUUCGGACCAAAGAUUUAUCGCCUUUGGAUGGGCCCGCGUUGGAUUAGCUAGUUGGUAGGGUAAAAGCCUACCAAGGCGACGAUCCAUAGCUGGUCUGAGAGGAUGAUCAGCCACACUGGGACUGAGACACGGCCCAGACUCCUACGGGAGGCAGCAGUGGGGAAUAUUGGACAAUGGGCGAAAGCCUGAUCCAGCAAUGCCGCGUGAGUGAUGAAGGCCUUAGGGUUGUAAAGCUCUUUUACCCGGGAUGAUAAUGACAGUACCGGGAGAAUAAGCUCCGGCUAACUCCGUG
rnacentral:rRNA from 1 species